AGAGUUUGUAUCCUGGCUCAGGAUGAACGCUGACAGAAUGCUUAACACAUGCAAGUCUUUGGCGAAUCUGUGCUUGCACAGGCUAGCCAAGGCGGACGGGUGAGUAACGCGUAAAGAACUUGCCCUGCAGACAGGGAUAACAGACGGAAACGACUGACAACACCUGAUACAGUUGCCGGCACGCAUGUGCCUGGCAAUGAAAAGAGAUGCUGCGGGAGAGCUUUGCGUCCUAUUAGCUUGUUGGCGGGGUAACGGCCCACCAAGGCGAUGAUAGGUAGCCGGCCUGAGAGGGUGAAACGGCCACAAGGGGACUGAGAUACGACCCUUACUCCUACGGGAGGCAGCAGUGGGGAAUAUUGGACAAUGGGGGCAACCCUGAUCCAGCAAUUCUGUGUGCACGAGGAAGGUUUUCGGAUUGUAAAGUGCUUUCAGCAGGGAAGAAGGAAGUGACGGUACCUGCAGAAGAAGCGACGGCUAAAUACGUG
rnacentral:rRNA from 1 species